UUGAGUGAAUGUGAAGGUAACAACAGGCAAAGCAAAAGUGGUGGUUGCAUCUUGCAACAAGCCAACAAACAAUUCAUCAUAAAUAAAUAUCAUAAAAGUAUUAGAUUCCCAACUGCAAAAGCUUUAAAGAAAAUAAUAAUUAAAAAAAAAAAAAAAAAAAAAAACACAACCGCCCAUCCUUUCUCAUCUAAGAAUAAUAAUAGUAUAUACAGUAAAAUCUUACGAGAUUUCGUUAAACUGCCAAGAUAAGAUUAAAUAAUUUAAUGAAAAUUCAAUUGUUCUAUUAAAUCCCGAAAAGUCCAGCAAAAAAACUCUCUAAAAGGCAUGAUAACAUAAUAUUUCCGGGUCGACCCGAUAAGUUAUUAGGGAUACCAAAUAUCAAACAAAAAAUACAAUUAUUUAGUUAAUCAUGGCUAAUUUUCCCGACUAAACGGGGCCUAAAUAAACUGUAUAAUUGGGCUAUCCAGGGACGUACGCUCAUUUUUACGGGUCGAUCUGAAAAGUUAUUGGACUGACCAAAUAUUAUUAUUAAAUAAGCUCAUGAUUUUUCUUACGAACGAAACGAGGCAUAAGUUCAAGAAAUCGAAUGAUGGGCUUUUGCUUAAAGUAUAAAGGAAUCAAGAUUCAGGUUUUGAAUGUGUAGACCCCAAGCAAAAGCCAAUCGUCUAAAGUGCAUUCUUCACCCCCACAUCAUCAAUUUCAUCAUGCAAUAGUAUCCCUUCUGGGAUUGGGAUAUAAAGAGAUAAAAAAAAUAAAGAUAAAGGUACAUAAAUAUGCAAGCAUAAUUCCCGAGUAGAUACGAAAAAGAAUACUCGAGAGGGCAUAAGUUUCGUAUAUAAUUGUGGGAAUCGAGUAGAGACGAAAUAUCUCAAUCUUUUGGCAAAAAGCAGAGCCAAGCUUUUCAGCCUGGUGAUCCUGAUGACUAUUCUUUGAAUGAUUCUUCGCCACUUCUUUCCCUUUCGGUUUUUUGAAGAAUGCUAAUUCCCGCCUUUUCCACCAAAGGAAGAAGCAACUAUAACACAAUCUUCUAGGUCUCGUUUGGUUGCCAGGAUAGGAUUAGUUAAGAUGAGAUUAUGGGGUCUUAUGAGAACUCGAUAGUGUAAUUGUGUAAUCGUUGCACUUCUUAUCAACCAAACGAGGCCUACAGCUACGUGAAUUACGACCGGAAUCAAAAUGCUUACCAACUAAAUUAUCCUGUUGAAAGCGUCGGCUCAAGUAAAUCUUCACAAAAAGAUAACACACACACACACACACAAAACCAUCAGCCCAAACGAAAUCAGUUUUGGAAAGAUAAAACUAUGUACUAAACACCAAACGCUUUUCAAUACGCAUGCUUAAUAAAUCCGUUCAUUUACUUAGGUGGUGUUUGCAACAGCUUAUUUAAAAGCAGAAGUUAGUGAUUGUGAGUUAAGUUGGAAUUAAGUGCUUAUUUCUAAAAGUUGGGGGUGUUUGCAAAUUAGCUGGAAAAUAAACUGAAUUCGAAAAAGCAGGUACAUGGGUGCUUUAAAAAUUAUAGCUUAAAGCAGCUUAUUUUAAGAGA
rnacentral:lncRNA from 1 species